GAUCCUAUUGUUUCCCAUGGGCUCAGAGCAUCUGACCCAGCAUUGGAACAAUAAAGAAAGAAAUCGUUGAGAUUAGAGCCAAGGACCGGAAGCCGACCCUCACGCGCAUAAGACUUGAGCGCAGUAUCAAUAACAGUAGCGACGAGCUCCUCCUCAUUCACCACAAAUCGGAUCGGUCCCGCACUCCCCAAUACCGUCACACU
rnacentral:misc_RNA from 1 species